rnacentral:lncRNA from 1 species
UAAAUUUAAUUUUUUUUUUAAUCUUAUUCUAAUAUAAUGUAUACAACGUUAACGUUAAUUCGUGAAACAUCUACAAAAAUAUCGAUAUUAUUUAUCAAGCUAUAAUUAAAUGAAGUUUGCAUUCUGUCUCUGUUACAACACCGUCGUAUUUUAUCUCCGUUUCGCUUUAUCUAACGCGAACUUCAAUUGCUCGUAACUUAAUAAAUAAAGCCUCGGCGUUUUAAAGAUUGGCGUUUUUGCAUUUGUUUCGAAUUCCUCCAAGAUUAAUCUUUAUAAUCUUCGCGAAAUUUAUUUUUAUUUGAUUUAUACGUUCCACGAGUAUAUUAACUUUAAAAUAGAAUUUUAAAAUUUAGAAUGAUCGAGAAUACGGAUCAUAUGCGCGUUUAAUCGAGUGAUUUCUUCGCGACAAUCAACCAUCUUUAUUUUAAGAAUCGCGGCGAGCCUCUGGCAGCGGGACGAGACGACAGCCAAGCUUGACGAGGCCAGGCCUCCGCUUGAAUCCGCCAUUCACGCCAUUUUUUGCGCUCUUCCCAUUACCAAGAUUGUGUGUGUGUGUGUGUUCUUGCGCGUGCCUAUACGUGUGCGUGCCUCUUUCGCUUAUUCUCCCUUCGUUACGUCUUCUCUACUCUACACCUCGCCGACUUAACGAUCUACAUUCCCUCCCCCCUCUCUGGCUCUUCUUUUCCUCGAACGAAAACCGAAACGAAUAGUCUCCUCCACUGUUCCACUCGGGAACACUGAAAUCGCGACAUUUUUCCCCCUGAAAGACCGAACCAUCCGGAAUUUUCUUCUUCUUCUUCUUUUUUGCCCAAAAGUAUAUAUAUAUAUCUCUUUCAUCGGAGAAACUGUGGUUGCGAAAAAGGGAAGACUGGAACUGGCCGGCCGGUAAGUAACCGACCGCUUUCUUCGAUUGUUUCUAUUCUACCGCGCAUUCGUGAUAUUUCCUCUCCGCGAUGUUAAGUUAGGAUGAAUUGAGAUCCGAUUCUUGAAAGGAUAUCAAAGGUAAAAUAGGAUGAAAGAAGGUGAGAUAGUUUGAAGGGGUUUUCGAUUAAUUUCGAGAAAUGGAAAAAUGAGGAUUUUCUAUUGUUGCGCGGGAAAAAUAAUGGAAAAGCCUACGUUUUUUACUGUAAAUAUAGGAAUAGGAUUUGUCGAGAAUGCAGAUUCUCGUAAUUUAUUUAGUUAACACGAGGAGGCGUUGAAUAUAGGGAUAAGUCGAUGUAUUGAAAAAAGGUGUUAAGUGUAAUUUUAUAUCCUUUAUAAAUACUUAUUAUCCAUUAAUUUUUCAUUUUAACGUAUAUCUCGAAUUCCAUUAGAAAUGUUCAAAAAACUAAUACGUUAAAUAAAUAAAACAAUAUUAUUAGAUAUCCUUGUCUUAUCUUCAUGAAUAUCCACUUUCAUAUUUUCAUAUUAUGAAAAGAUUUGAUUUUUUUAUUAACGUUUACGCUCUAAUCCCCUUCCGUUUUAAUUAUCCUCUCUCGUGUAACAAAAUUCGUAAAAUCUCUCUCAAAAAAAAAAAAAAAAAAAAAUAGAAUAUACUUCGUUAAAAAUAUCGAAUAAUUCUCACUAGUGUCAACAUAUUUUUCGCGCGCAUCUUCAAUUAAGAAUAAUACACAAGAGCACAAGCUUGGAAAAAGAAACGAGCAAAAGAAAGAAAGGUCGUGAUAUCAAUGCCUAGCAAUGUCCUUAGAACCUCGUUAGAGAUACUCUCCAACCACGUUUCACUCGUCGGACGAAUUCGUGAUAGCAAUACUCUUUUCGCGUGUUCCAAAAGUACCAUGUAAUACAAAAUUAAAAAUUGAACGAUGUAUUUCACGUAUCAUUUAUUUAAUCGAGCCUUUCAAUGAUGAAAGGAAAACAAAAGGUAGUCGAGGUGAGAAAUUAUAUCGAAAGCUGUAUAUUCGAAUAUGGCAGCUUCGUUAAAAUCCAGCGGCCGAAAUACCGCAUUAAAAGCCACAUGCACACGAUGCAUGCAACACCGCCACUUUCGGGAGGAACGUCCUUGGCACGAAAUAAACAGACGCGCUUCGUUCCCUUCGAAGCAACCUUUUUUUUUUUUUUUUUG